UACGGGGGGGGCAAGCGUUGUUCGGAAUUACUGGGCGUAAAGGGCUCGUAGGUGGCCAACUAAGUCAUACGUGAAAUCCCUCGGCUUAACCGGGGACGUGCGUCUGAUACUGGAUGGCUUGAGUUUGGGAGAGGGACGCGGAAUUCCAGGUGUAGCGGUGAAAUGCGCAGAUAUCAGGAAGAACACCCGUGGCUAAGGCGGCUCUCUAGUACGGUACUGACGCUGAGACGCGAAAGCGUGGGGAGCGAACAGG
rnacentral:rRNA from 1 species